GGUAAAAUAGCUUGUACCUUGGGGAAGUUUUAACCUAAGCUGGUAAAAAUAAGCUUAGGGGGUUUUUCAUGCAGGUCCCCACCUCUGUACCUAGAGUUCAGAGUGGGGAAGGAAUCUUGACACCUACAUUUUCUAACUUGGGUGGCCCAAAGGCAUCAAGAAUUAUGUCUAGGCAUUAGAGCUGGACAGAAAAAAAAACUUCAGUUGAACCAUUGUCCAUCAGAGAACACAGUUCUAUCCAAAGCAAAAUGCUUUCCAAAUUCAUGUCAGUUUUAUAGAAAUUUUGUUUUGGCGAAAAACCUUAGGGAAAAGCUCGGUGUUGAAACAUCCUUUUUUGACAUUUUUGGACUGAAACAUUUUUAUUUUUAAAAUAUCUUUUAAUUGUGAGUAUUUUAUUGUAAUAUAAGAAAUCAUAGUCUACAUGAAACAUUUUGAUUUUACAAAACAAAAUGUUUCAAUUGAUCUGAAACAAAAAAUUUGGAUUUUUUUUUUAGGAGAAUUUCAACAUUUUGCGGGGUUGUGCCUAACUAGAACACACACAAAUUUCAAAAUCUCUCAAUCCUCCAUGAAAUGGAAUUUCUAUCUUCUGUAUAGCUCUACUAGGCAUCGAACAAAGUGGCCUGGGUUUCAGAAAUUCUGAGCACCUGGGACUCCCUUUGAUGUCUAUGGGCGCUGCAGCCAAUAAGUGAUCUGGAAAUGCACUGUCGUUAACCUCUGUCAGGAUGAUGUCAGCUGGAAGGAUGAACCAUAAGCAUCCAUGAAAGAGAUGCAAUGGUACUGAGACUGGGAAAAACCAAUUUGCUUCAUGCUCUAACGGUACAUCUUCACUACCAGCUGGAUUGGUGGGUAGUGAUCAAUCUAUUGGGGAUUGAUUUAUCACGUCUCCUCUAGAUGUGAUAAAUCGAUCCCCGAAUCAACGCCUGUACUCCACCUCGGCAGGAGGAGUAAGUGGAGUUGAAGGGGGAGCCGCUGCAGUCGACUUGCCGUUCUGAGGACAGUCAGGUAAGUCGAACUAAGAUACUUCGAUUUCAGCUACGUGAAUAGCAUAGCUGAAGUUGCGUACUUAGUUCGAAACCCCCCCGCCCCAGUGUAGCCCAUGCCUAAAUAAAUUGGGGGAGCGGAAGUUAUCACUUGCAGGCUGUUUUGGCAGCUAAGUGAAUUGCGCUAAUGAACUGACAGAGCAACUCUGUCAAUCAUAGAUUUAUGGACCUCUGCCCUCCUUGAUGUGAUCAAAUAUGAAGAUUCUCCAACAGUCAGAUUUCUCAUAGCAUGUUGGAUAAGGCCUAUGAAUGGGACACACAUCUGGGCCAUGCAAAGAUAAAGGAGCUGAGGCAGGCAUACCAGAAGGCAAGGGAAUCAAACUGUCACUCUGGUGCUGUGUCAAAGACCUGCUGCUUCUAUAAGGAUCUGGACAUGAUCCUUGGCAGCAACCCAACCUCCACCAACAAGAGCCCCAUGGAUACUUUGUGGGGGCUGCAGACAGUGGCCAGCAGACUCAAUCCCAAGGCCAAAGUGAUGAACAAGGAAGUGGAAAUGGAGGAUGAGAUGGGACAGGCGACGGUCGUCCGGUACUGUUGCAAGCCAGGACAUCAUCUCAACUCUGGAGGUUUGAGCUAGUCCCAGCACUUUGUCUCUGGCAUUCAUGAUGCAGGAAAGGGGAGCUCUGAUGUGGCCUUCACGGGAACCCCCUACACACCGAUGGAGCAUCUCCACCAGAUAAGGAAGCAACCAAGGAGGAGCAAGGUGUAGUAGAAGAAGAGCCUGAGCUAUGAGGCCUAAAAUAAUACCUGAGGCCGAACUAAAGUAGUAGUCAGGCCCUGCUGAUAUAAAACAAAGUGAGCAAAAGGCAGACUGUGAGCAGAAGUCAGGCCCUGUUAUAAAACAUGGCUGUUUCUAAGUUCACAGGUUCUGGCAAGGACAGGGCUGGUAUUGCAAGGACACAUACAUUCCUGAGAAGUACUAGGCACAGGACACUCAUGCAAACACAUUGCAGAAGGGUGGUACCAGAACACCCUGAUACUAAGUAUGGUACAAACACACUCCCCAAAGAUAACAGGAACAUGUUAACCGCUCCUAAAGAUAAGGUCAGGAUGAUAGUAUGAUGGCUAGAGAUGUUUUGAUUGAACCAACAUCUAAGGUAAAGGGUGCUAACGAUCAGUGUCAGAGGGGCAAUACGUAACUUGUUUGUAUCGGUGUAUAAAGAGGCGUCUCAGAAGGCCAGCUGAGGAGGGAAUAGAAAGUCCCUCCAUUCACUGAGCUGAGCUCAUUGUUAUGAGCAUACAGGUACUAAUGUAACUGUAGACAUUGAUCCAGAUAGCUAGGACUGUGCUUUGUUGAUUAUAAGCCUGGCCAGGUGCCUUUGCUACUAAACCAAGACUUGUGGUCUUAUUAGGCAGUUCGAUUGGAGUCUGCUAUGCAGACUAUCUGGCCAGAGCCAGUGCUGCACGCAGAGAGAACACACUUGCAGCCAAUGACUAACUACAAAAGGAAGAUGUGUUUUAGGAGGUCUCCAAUGCUCUGAUGGUGCAGAACAAGAAUGAAAGGCAAGAAGAGAGACAGUUAAUGAAAAUUUAAAAAUAAGCAGGGCCAGGAGCAAAUGUUUGUUGGCCAGGAGUAGGUGAUAAAAGUGAUGGAGGAGCAAACAGAAAUGCUGAAGUCCUUAAUUGUGCUGCAGGCAGAAUACAUGUGCUUGACACCCCCUGCAGCCCAUACAGAACUGUUUGCCAUGCAGUCCCCAAACUCCUCACAUACAUUCCUUGCGUCUUCCAGCCCAUUGCAGUACUCUGUUCACACCACCCCUUCGGACAGCUUCCAAAAUGAUAGCUGUGUGCAACUCCAGCUAUGAGAGCCUCCAUUGGGAGGAUGCCCUUUAGUGUUAGCAAAUGCUUGGUUGAAAGGGAGCUAUGUCAUAUUUAUUGCUAUUUAA